rnacentral:rRNA from 1 species
UACGUAGGGUGCAAGCGUUAAUCGGAAUUACUGGGCGUAAAGCGUGCGCAGGCGGUGAUGUAAGUCAGGCGUGAAAUCCCCGGGCUUAACCUGGGAACUGCAUUUGUGACUGCAUCGCUGGAGUGCGGCAGAGGGGGAUGGAAUUCCGCGUGUAGCAGUGAAAUGCGUAGAUAUGCGGAGGAACACCGAUGGCGAAGGCAAUCCCCUGGGCCUGCACUGACGCUCAUGCACGAAAGCGUGGGGAGCAAACAGG